GAUGAACGCUGGCGGCGUGCCUAAUACAUGCAAGUCGAGCGAACGGACGAGAAGCUUGCUUCUCUGAUGUUAGCGGCGGACGGGUGAGUAACACGUGGAUAGCCUACCUAUAAGACUGGGAUAACUUCGGGAAACCGGAGCUAAUACCGGAUAAUAUUUUGAACCGCAUGGUUCAAAAGUGAAAGACGGUCUUGCUGUCACUUAUAGAUGGAUCCGCGCUGCAUUAGCUAGUUGGUAAGGUAACGGCUUACCAAGGCAACGAUGCAUAGCCGACCUGAGAGAGUGAUCGGCCACACUGGAACUGAGACACGGUCCAGACUCCUACGGGAGGCAGCAGUAGGGAAUCUUCCGCAAUGGGCGAAAGCCUGACGGAGCAACGCCGCGUGAGUGAUGAAGGUCUUCGGAUCGUAAAACUCUGUUAUUAGGGAAGAACAUAUGUGUAAGUAACUGUGCACAUCUUGACGGUACCUAAUCAGAAAGCCACGGCUAACUACGUG
rnacentral:rRNA from 1 species